UACGUAGGGUGCGAGCGUUAAUCGGAAUUACUGGGCGUAAAGCGUGCGCAGGCGGCGGCUCAAGUCAGGUGUGAAAUCCCCCGGGCUUAACCUGGGAAUUGCGCUUGAAACUAGGUCGCUAGAGUGUGGCAGAGGGGGGGUGGAAUUCCACGUGUAGCAGUGAAAUGCGUAGAGAUCUGGAGGAACACCGAUGGCGAAGGCAGCCCCCUGGGCUAACACUGACGCUCCAUGCACGAAAGCGUGGGGAGCAAACAGG
rnacentral:rRNA from 1 species